rnacentral:rRNA from 1 species
ACUGAGACCGGCCCAGACUCUUACGGGAGCAGCAGUAGGGAAUAUUGGACAAUGGGCGAAAGCCUGAUCCAGCAAUGCCGCGUGAGGUGAUGAAGGCCUUAGGGUUGUAAAGCUCUUGUUACCCGGGAUGAUAAUGACAGUACCGGGAGAAUGAAGCUCCGGCGUAACUCCGUGCCAGCAGCCGCGGUAAUACGGAGGGAGUCAGCGCUUGUUCGGAAUUACUGGGCGUAAAGCGCACGUAGGCGGCUAUUCAAGUCAGAGGUGAAAGCCCGGGGCUCAACCCCGGAACUGCCUUUGAAACUAGAUAGCUUGAAUCUCAGGAGAGGUGAGUGGAAUUCCGAGUGUAGAGGUGAAAUUCGUAGAUAUUCGGAAGAACAUCCAGUGGCGAAGGCGGCUCACUGGACUGGUAUUGACGCUGAGGUGCGAAAGCGUGGGGAGCAAACAGGAUUAGAUAUCCCUGGUAGUCCACGCCGUAUAACGUAUGAUAACUAGCUGUCAGGGCACAUGGUGUUUUGGUGGCGCAGCUAACGCAUUAAGUUAUCCGCCUGGGGUAGUACGGUCGCAAGAUUAAAACUCAAAGGAAUUGACGG